GCGGUAUCGUUAACAUCUCUAGAAGAUGUAGCCGCCACAUAAGCUGCUCGACGCUUCCUGGAGAGUGAAGGUGUUUCCGUACGCAGAAUGGGAAGGAGAUUCAGAGUAAGGCUUGAGCAUGUUAGAGAAGAAUUGACCAAAGACACCAUUAUUAUUAUUUUUGGUGUAAAAUUCAAAAGAUCAGAUUGGCCGGAGCUCCACUAGAGCCGCUUGUGAUAAAAGGAGUGAUCGGAGCUGACACACAAUUCACGUUUGCGUUCUACACAAUU